CAGACAGCUGAAACUCUUUGGACACAAUGCCAAGGACGCUGUCUGCAGCCAGCCACUGCCUGAGCAGGUUUCCCCUCGGAUCCUGGACCAAGAAGACCGUGCUGAUCAGAGGAUUUUCAAAACUUCAGUUUGUGCUUUGAAAAACAUCCAGCAAGUUUAGAGUCUUACCCUGAUGAUGAUGUCCACGGGGCUGAUGAAGGGCUUCCCAUCAGAGUGAAUGGAAACAACUCUGAUCUUCACCGUCUGCCCAGCGGUGAGAACGAUGAGGCUGAAAACACCCCACACCCGGAGACGCUCCAUUUGUAUGAAUGAAAUUCACUCCAGGGAGCUUCUCUCAAUACUGAAAGCAGGAACAUCUGCCAGGAUCAGCAC
ensembl:lncRNA